rnacentral:rRNA from 1 species
GGGGCUUACACAUGCAAGUCGAACGAGAACGGAUUAUAGCUUGCUAUAAUUGUCAGCUAAGUGGCGCACGGGUGAGUAAUAUUUAGGUAACGUGCCCUAGAGAAGAGGAUAACAGUUGGAAACGAUUGCUAAGACUCUAUAUGCCUUUAAGACUUAAGUCUGCAAGGGAAAUAUUUAUAGCUCUAGGAUCGGCCUGUACAGUAUCAGUUAGUUGGUGAGGUAAUGGCUCACCAAGACUUUGACGCUUAACUGGUUUGAGAGGAUGAUCAGUCACACUGGAACUGAGACACGGUCCAGACUCCUACGGGAGGCAGCAGUGGGGAAUAUUGCACAAUGGACGAAAGUGUGAUGCAGCAACGCCGCGUGGAGGAUGACACAUUUCCGUGCGUAAAUUCCAUUUAUAUGGGAAGAUAAUGACGGUACCAAAUAAAUAAGCACCGGCUAACUCCGUGCCAGCAGCCGCGGUAAUACGGAGGGUGCAAGCGUUACUCGGAAUCACUGGGCGUAAAGAGCGUGUCGGCGGGUAAUUAAGUCAGAAGUGAAAUCCAAUAGCUCAACUAUUGAACUGCUUUUGAAACUGAUUACCUAGAAUAUGGGAGAGGUAGAUGGAAUUUCUGGUGUAGGGGUAAAAUCCGUAGAGAUCAGAAGGAAUACCGAUUGCGGAGGCGAUCUACUGGAACAUUAUUGACGCUGAGUCGCGAAAGCGUGGGGAGCAAACAGGAUUAGAUACCCUGGUAGUCCACGCCCUAAACGAUGUACACUAGUUGUUGUGAGGCUCGACCUUGCAGUAAAGCAGUUAACACAUUAAGUGUACCGCCUGGGGAGUACGGUCGCAAGAUUAAAACUGAAAGGAAUAGACGGGGACCCGCACAAGCCGUGGAGCAUGUGCUUUUAUUCGACGGUACACAAAGAACCUUACCUGGACUUGACAUAGUAAGAAAUUUCUAGAGAUAGAUUGGUGUCUGCUUGCAGAAACUUAUAUACAGGUCCUGCACGGCUGUCGUCAGCUCGUGUCGUGAGAUGUUGGGUAAGUCCCGCAGAGCGCAACCCUCGUCAUUACUAACAAUCGUGACUCUAAUGAGACUCCACGCAGUAGAAGAAGCGACGUCAGUCAUCAUACGUCAUAGCUACAGGGC